UAAUACGGAGGAUGCAAGCGUUAUCCGGAUUCAUUGGGUUUAAAGGGUGCGUAGGCGGAAUGAUAAGUUAGUGGUGAAAGCCCCCGGCUUAACCGGGGAACUGCCAUUAAUACUGUCAUUCUUGAGUAUAGUUGAAGUGGGCGGAAUGUAUCAUGUAGCGGUGAAAUGCUUAGAUAUGAUACAGAACACCGAUAGCGUAGGCAGCUUGCUAAACUAUAACUGACGCUCAGGCACGAAAGCGUGGGGAGCAAACAGGAUUAGAUACCCUGGUAGUCCACGCCGUAAACGAUGAUCACUCGCUGUUGGCGAUACACAGUCAGCGGCUUAGGGAAACCAUUAAGUGAUCCACCUGGGGAGUACGGUCGCAAGAUUG
rnacentral:rRNA from 1 species